UACGUAGGGUGCAGGCGUUAAUCGGAAUUACUGGGCGUAAAGCGCACGUAGGCGGUCUUUUAAGUCGGGGGUGAAAUCCUGGAGCUCAACUCCAGAACUGCCUUCGAUACUGGAAGACUUGAGUCCGGGAGAGGUGAGUGGAACUGCGAGUGUAGAGGUGAAAUUCGUAGAUAUUCGCAAGAACACCAGUGGCGAAGGCGGCUCACUGGCCCGGUACUGACGCUGAGGUGCGAAAGCGUGGGGAGCAAACAGG
rnacentral:rRNA from 1 species